UAGCUAUAGGUCUGUGGUUGAAAAUUCAUGCCAGUCGCAGGCGAAAGAAUCCACGUAAGUUAACCUAAAAGCGGGUUAAUGAUCAUGGUGCGGCUUAGAAGUAAGUCCUGCCGACAUAAAGUCGAGAGAGAUAGUAGUGAGGCAACCCCGAGCGAACUCUCCAGCAGGCGAGUGUGGGGUCAAAGACCAGGUCAGCUAUAGCUA
rnacentral:ncRNA from 1 species